UAAGGAAUAUUGGUCAAUGGACGCAAGUCUGAACCAGCCAUGCCGCGUGGAGGAUUAAGGCCCUCUGGGUUGUAAACUCCUUUUCUCUGGGAAGAACUGUACUUUUUCUUGAGUACUUGACGGUACCAGAGGCAUAAGCACCGGCUAACUCCGUGCCAGCAGCCGCGGUAAUACGGAGGGUGCAAGCGUUAUCCGGAUUCACUGGGUUUAAAGGGUGCGUAGGUGGGCAGGUAAGUCAGUGGUGAAAUCUCCGGGCUUAACCCGGAAAUUGCCGUUGAUACUAUUUGUCUUGAAUAUUGUGUGGUUAAGCGGAAUAUGUAAUGUAUCUGUGAAAUGCUUAGAUAUGACA
rnacentral:rRNA from 1 species